GACGAACGCUGGCGGCGUGCUUAACACAUGCAAGUCGAACGGAAAGGCCCUGCUUUUGUGGGGUGCUCGAGUGGCGAACGGGUGAGUAACACGUGAGUAACCUGCCCUUGACUUUGGGAUAACUCCAGGAAACUGGGGCUAAUACCGGAUAGGAGCUCCUGCUGCAUGGUGGGGGUUGGAAAGUGUCGGCGGUUGGGGAUGGACUCGCGGCUUAUCAGCUUGUUGGUGGGGUAGUGGCUUACCAAGGCAUUGACGGGUAGCCGGCCUGAGAGGGUGACCGGCCACAUUGGGACUGAGAUACGGCCCAGACUCAUACGGGAGGCAGCAGUGGGAAAUAUUGCACAAUGGGCGGAAGCCUGAUGCAGCAACGCCGCGUGCGGGAUGACGGCCUUCGGGUUGUAACCCGCUUUCGCCUGUGAAGAAGCGCGAGUGACGGUAAUGGGUAAAGAAGCACCGGCUAACUACGUG
rnacentral:rRNA from 1 species